rnacentral:rRNA from 1 species
UAAUACGUAGGGGGCGAGCGUUGUCCGGAUUUAUUGGGCGUAAAGAGCUCGUAGGCGGUUCGGUAAGUCGGCUGUGAAAUCUCCACGCUCAACGUGGAGGGGUCAGUCGAAACUGCCGUGACUCGAGUCCGGUAGAGGAGUGUGGAAUUCCCGGUGUAGCGGUGAAAUGCGCAGAGAUCGGGAGGAACACCCGUAGCGAAGGCGGCACUCUGGGCCGGUACUGACGCUGAGGAGCGAAAGCGUGGGGAGCAAACAGGAUUAGAUACCCUGGUAGUCCACGCCGUAAACGUUGGGCACUAGGUGUGGGGCUCUAUCGACGGGUUCCGUGCCGUAGCUAACGCAUUAAGUGCCCCGCCUGGGGAGUACGGCCGCAAGGCUA